GACGAACGCUGGCGGCGUGCUUAACACAUGCAAGUCGAACGGAAAGACCCUGCUUUUGUGGGGUGCUCGAGUGGCGAACGCGUGAGUAACACGUGAGUAACCUGCCCUUGACUUUGGGAUAACUUCAGGAAACUGGGGCUAAUACCGGAUAGGAGCUCCUGCUGCAUGGUGGGCGUUGGAAAGUUUCGGCGGUUGGGGAUGGACUCGCGGGGUAUCAGCUUGGUGGUGAGGUAGUGGAGUAACAAGGCUUUGACGGGUAGCCGGCCUGAGAGGGUGGCCGGCCACACUGGAACGGAGACCCGGCCCAGACGCCCACGGGUGCCAGCAGGAGGGAUUCGGGAGCAAUGGGCGGAGAACUGACGGAGAAACGCCGCGUGAGUGAGGAGGGUCUUCGGAUCGGAGAACUCGGUUAUUAGGGAAGAACAAAUGUGUAAGUAACUAUGCGCGUCUUGACGGUACCUAAUCAGAAAGCCACGGCUAACUACGUG
rnacentral:rRNA from 1 species